rnacentral:rRNA from 1 species
UACGUAGGGUGCAAGCGUUAAUCGGAAUUACUGGGCGUAAAGCGUGCGCAGGCGGUUUUGUAAGUCUGUCGUGAAAUCCCCGGGCUCAACCUGGGAAUGGCAUUUGGGACUGCAAGGCUUGAGUGCGGCAGAGGAGACUGGAAUUCCUGGUGUAGCAGUGAAAUGCGUAGAGAUCGGGAGGAACAUCAGUUGCGAAGGCGGCUCUCUGGACCAGCACUGACACUGAGGCACGAAAGCGUGGGGAGCAAACAGG